rnacentral:rRNA from 1 species
UGACAACCGAGAGAUCGGCGUUCCCCUUCGGGGGACAGGGUGACAGGUGGUGCAUGGUUGUCGUCAGCUCGUGUCGUGAGAUGUUGGGUUAAGUCCCGCAACGAGCGCAACCCUCGACCUUAGUUGCCAGCAUUCAGUUGGGCACUCUAAGGUGACUGCCGGCUAAAAGUCGGAGGAAGGUGGGGAUGACGUCAAGUCAGCACGGCCCUUACGUCCUGGGCUACACACACGCUACAAUGGGUGGUACAAAGGGUAGCGAAGGGGUGACCUGGAGCCAAUCCCAACAAAGCCAUCCCCAGUUCAGAUUGCAGGCUGCAACUCGCCUGCAUGAAGUCGGAGUUGCUAGUAACCGUGGGUCAGCACACCGCGGUGAAUAUGUUCCCGGGCCUU